UACGGAGGGUGCAAGCGUUAUCCGGAUUUACUGGGUUUAAAGGGUGCGUAGGUGGGCAGUUAAGUCAGUGGUGAAAUCUCCGAGCUUAACUCGGAAACUGCCAUUGAUACUAUCUGUCUUGAAUAUCCUGGAGGUGAGCGGAAUAUGUCAUGUAGCGGUGAAAUGCUUAGAUAUGACAUAGAACACCAAUUGCGAAGGCAGCUCACUACGGGAUUAUUGACACUGAGGCACGACAGCGUGGGGAUCAAACAGG
rnacentral:rRNA from 1 species